ACAUGCCUACAACAUAGUGUUAAUGCACCGGAUCCCAACUCCGUAGUUAACUGCGCUCAGGCUAGAGUAGUAUUGGGAUGGGUGACUGCCCAGGAAGUCCUAGUAUUUUACAUGCC
rnacentral:rRNA from 1 species